rnacentral:lncRNA from 1 species
CCCUAUUUAUUUAUCAUAAGGCGUAUUUCUAGCCAUUGAUUAUUCUUGGACCUGUAAAUCCAAAUUAAAUUUGAAUUACUUUUUCUUAAAAUGCGGUUGUAGAAAGAAGAGAGUGCAUGGGCUAUUGGUGCAGUAGUAGUGAAUGUAAAAUAACAUAGCCUCCCUAGUCUGACCUUAAUCUCAAGAGUAACAGCAAGUUACUGUUCGUAUUGUUCACGGCACACUAUGAUUUUAUAAUCUUUUAUUCUGUGGCUGCUGGUAGCUCCAUAGCUCCUUUCCCCGGAGGAAACAUCCUUGGAACCCAGGGUGCUGCAGGGCUCUUCGCACAGCAAGGACAUGUAAAUGUCUCAGAUUAACCAUGAAUCUGAAGCCCAGAAUCAAGACUGGCAAACGACAGAAAACAGAAUAAAAGCUAAGAUGCGUCUGUUUAACUAAAGCA